rnacentral:lncRNA from 1 species
GUUGGCUCAGCAGCAUCUGAAAGUGCCUGAUACACAAGCCUGACAACCGAUGUUGGCCCUCAGAAUCUACAGGAAAGAGAGAGCAAGCCUGACAACCGAUGUUGGCCCUCAGAAUCUACAGGAGAGGCUGCAGGAACCUGGAAGUCCCACAUCUUUAUUGAUUGAUCAAGAACCAAUUGGUGACAAGGACCUUCAGCAUCAGUACCUGAAGAUUCCUGAAAAACUAAAGCAUCAGAACACAAUCCUAUUUCACAAAAGGAAAAUUUAGCAAAUUGAGUUACUAAUGUCUGUAUUUUUAUUUUAGUUACAUUCUUAUCUCAGUAG